UAAGCCUGUGAAGGUGGCCUGUGAGGGUUGCUGGAGGUAUCAGAAGUGCGAAUGCUGACAUAAGUAACGAUAAAGCGGGUGAAAAGCCCGCUCGCCGGAAGACCAAGGGUUCCUGUCCAACGUUAAUCGGGGCAGGGUGAGUCGACCCCUAAGGCGAGGCCGAAAGGCGUAGUCGAUGGGAAACGGGUUAAUAUUCCCGUACUUGGUGUUACUGCGAAGGGGGGACGGAGAAGGCUAUGUUGGCCGGGCGACGGUUGUCCCGGUUUAAGCGUGUAGGUGUGUGUUCCAGGUAAAUCCGGUUCACUUUAACACUGAGGCGUGAU
rnacentral:rRNA from 1 species